rnacentral:rRNA from 1 species
CCUACGGGAGGCAGCAGUGAGGAAUAUUGGUCAAUGGACGAGAGUCUGAACCAGCCAAGUAGCGUGAAGGAUGACUGCCCUAUGGGUUGUAAACUUCUGGUAUAGGGGAAGAAAACAGGGUAGGCAGACCCUCUUGUAUGUACCAUAUGAAUAAGGAUCGGCUAACGCCGUGCCAGCAGCCGCGGUAAUACGGAGGAUCCGAGCGUUAUCCGGAUUUAUUGGGUUUAAAGGGAGCGUAGGUGGAUUGUUAAGUCAGUUGUGAAAGUGUGCGGCUCAACCGUAAAAUUGCCGUUGAAACUGGCAGUCUUGAGUCCAGUCGCGCUGGGCUGCAUUCGUGUUGUAGCGGU